rnacentral:piRNA from 1 species
UGGGAGUCUCUGGUACCUGCUUGACAUCU